rnacentral:rRNA from 1 species
GAACUUUCCAGAGAUGGAUUGGUGCCUUCGGGAACUGUGAGACAGGUGCUGCAUGGCUGUCGUCAGCUCGUGUUGUGAAAUGUUGGGUUAAGUCCCGCAACGAGCGCAACCCUUAUCCUUUGUUGCCAGCGGUCCGGCCGGGAACUCAAAGGAGACUGCCAGUGAUAAACUGGAGGAAGGUGGGGAUGACGUCAAGUCAUCAUGGCCCUUACGACCAGGGCUACACACGUGCUACAAUGGCGCAUACAAAGAGAAGCGACCUCGCGAGAGCAAGCGGACCUCAUAAAGUGCGUCGUAGUCCGGAUUGGAGUCUGCAACUCGACUCCAUGAAGUCGGAAUCGCUAGUAAUCGUGGAUCAGAAUGCCACGGUGAA